UUUCCUUUUUUUUUAUCUGAGCUCUCGUUUUCAUAUAUUAUGUUGAUAAAAGAUAAAACUAUAACUAUCAACAUAAUAUAUGAAAACGAGAGCUCAGAUAAAAAAAAAAUA
rnacentral:sRNA from 1 species